rnacentral:rRNA from 1 species
GUCUUGUAAUUGGAAUGAUGGGAAUCUAAACCCUUCCCAGAGUAUCAAUUGGAGGGCAAGUCUGGUGCCAGCAGCCGCGGUAAUUCCAGCUCCAAUAGCGUAUAUUAAAGUUGUUGCAGUUAAGAAGCUCGUAGUUGAAUUUCUGCCUUGUCGUUAAAUUCGCUUCCGAGCGUUUUUUUAUUGACUUGGCAUCUUCUGGAUUUGGUUCCCUUCGGGGUUCUAUUUUCCGGGAUUUACUUUGAGAAAACUAGAGUGUUUCAAACAGGCAUUUGCCUUGAAUACUACAGCAUGGAAUAAUGAAGUAGGACUUUGGUUCUAUUUUGUUGGUUAUUGAGCCAGAGUAAUGGUUAAUAGGAGCAGUUGGGGGCAUUCGUAUUUAACUGUCAGAGGUGAAAUUCUUAGAUUUGUUAAAGACGAACUACUGCGAAAGCAUUUGCCAAGGAUGUUUUCAUUAAUCAAGAACGAAAGUUAGGGGAUCGAAGACGAUCAGAUACCGUCGUAGUCCUAACCAUAAACUAUGCCGACUAGAGAUUGGAGGUCGUCAGUUUAAACGACUCCUUCAGCACCUUGAGAGAAAUCAAAGUCUUUGG